GAUGAACGCUGGCGGCGUGCCUAAUACAUGCAAGUCGAGCGAACAGACGAGGAGCUUGCUCCUCUGACGUUAGCGGCGGACGGGUGAGUAACACGUGGAUAACCUACCUAUAAGACUGGGAUAACUUCGGGAAACCGGAGCUAAUACCGGAUAAUAUAUUGAACCGCAUGGUUCAAUAGUGAAAGACGGUUUUGCUGUCACUUAUAGAUGGAUCCGCGCCGCAUUAGCUAGUUGGUAAGGUAACGGCUUACCAAGGCAACGAUGCGUAGCCGACCUGAGAGGGUGAGCGGCCACACUGGAACUGAGACACGGUCCAGAGUCCUACGGGAGGCAGCAGUAGGGAAUCUUCCGCAAUGGGCGAAAGCCUGACGGAGCAACGCCGCGUGAGUGAUGAAGGUCUUCGGAUCGUAAAACUCUGUUAUUAGGGAAGAACAAAUGUGUAAGUAACUAUGCACGUCUUGACGGUACCUAAUCAGAAAGCCACGGCUAACUACGUG
rnacentral:rRNA from 1 species